GAGAAGUUCAACUUUUCAGCUCUGCUUCAGGGCUCAGAGGGUACACCACAGAGCCGAGGAAACUGAGCUUCAGUGAAAGAAAGACACUGUCCAAAGUAAGACUUCUUGGUGCUACAGGCACAGGAAGAGGAGAGCUGUGGAAAGCUGAAGACAAGAAGUGCACCUGAGGAAGAUACCACAAGUGAGCAGAGGCCAGAAGUUGAAAGGACCUAAACCAGGUACCCUGUAACACUGAUA